GACGAACGCUGGCGGCGUGCUUAACACAUGCAAGUCGAACGGAAAGGCCCUGCUUGCAGGGUACUCGAGUGGCGAACGGGUGAGUAACACGUGGGUGAUCUGCCCUGCACUUCGGGAUAAGCCUGGGAAACUGGGUCUAAUACCGGAUAGGAGCCAUUUUUAGUGUGAUGGUUGGAAAGUUUUUUCGGUGUAGGAUGAGCUCGCGGCCUAUCAGCUUGUUGGUGGGGUAAUGGCCUACCAAGGCGGCGACGGGUAGCCGGCCUGGGAGGGUGGACGGCCACAUUGGGACUGAGAUGAGGCCCAGACUCCUGCGGGAAGCAGCAGUGGGGAAUAUUGCACAAUGGGCGCGAGCCUGAUGCAGCGAAGCCGCGUGGGGGAUGACGGCCUUCGGGUUGUAAACUCCUUUCGCUAGGGACGAAGCUUUUUGUGACGGUACCUAGAUAAGAAGCACCGGCUAACUACGUG
rnacentral:rRNA from 1 species